AGAUUGAACGCUGGCGGUAUGCUUAACACAUGCAAGUCGAACGGCAGCACAGGGUAGCUUGCUAUCCGGGUGGCGAGUGGCGGACGGGUGAGUAACGCGUAGGAAUCUACCUUUUUGUGGGGGAUAACCCGGGGAAACUCGGGCUAAUACCGCAUACGCCCUACGGGGGGAAAGCGGGGGACCUUUGGGCCUCGCGCAAAAAGAUGAGCCUGCGUCCUAUCAGGUAGUUGGUGAGGUAAUGGCUCACCAAGCCGACGACGGGUAGCUGGUCUGAGAGGACGACCAGCCACACUGGGACUGAGACACGGCCCAGACUCCUACGGGAGGCAGCAGUGGGGAAUAUUGGACAAUGGGGGCAACCCUGAUCCAGCAAUACCGCGUGUGUGAAGAAGGCCUUCGGGUUGUAAAGCACUUUAGCAGGAAAGAAUGACUGUGCGUUAAUACCGCGCGGUUUUGACGUUUACUGUCAGAAAAACGCACCGGCUAACUCCGUGCCAGCAGCCGUCGUAAUC
rnacentral:rRNA from 1 species